AUGGAUCCUCGCCUCCGCGCCCCUGAUCCGGCCUCCCAUCCUCGGAUCCAUCCUCCCGCGUCCACCCCACGCCUCGUUCGUCCCUGGGGACUCCUGCUACGCCAGGUCCACCAGCUCCGUCGCUGCAGGGAACGAGGAGCAUGCCGCCCCGAGGCAUGGACCCCAGCGUCAGGUCCCAUGCCGCCGCCGUCCGAAGCCUCGCUGUCGUUUUUCUUCAGAUACGAGAAGACCAGCGCCACACCACUGCUUCCUCUCCGUUCCCCUUGCCCAUCCACUCGUCGCCGGAGACCCCAGGCUAGCCGCCGCCGCGCUACGGUACCUGCUCCAUGCCGGACUCGGCUUCCUCAUCGCCCUCCAGCAACGGCCAGAGCGCCAAGUCCCUCCGCAUGGACCCCGCAGCCCUGGCCUCAACUCGCCGCCGGAUCCGCUUCCUCUCGGCGCCCACGACGAGCUCCGCCCAGUCUCCCCACGCCCCGCCGCCCGCUGUCUCCUCUGCAUCGCGCCAGCGCGCCUGACCUCUUCGUCGCGCUGUUCCCCUAUUUCUGCGUGUGA
rnacentral:rRNA from 1 species